rnacentral:rRNA from 1 species
UACGUAGGGGGCUAGCGUUGUCCGGAUUUAUUGGGCGUAAAGAGCGUGUAGGCGGCCAGGUAGGUCCGCUGUGAAAGUCCGAGGCUCAACCUCGGAAUGUCGGCGGAAACCCUCUGGCUAGAGUCCGGAAGAGGAGAAUGGAAUUCCCGGUGUAGCGGUGAAAUGCGCAGAUAUCGGGAAGAACACCCGUGGCGAAGGCGGUUCUCUGGACAGUUCCUGACGCUGAGGCACGAAGGUCAGGGGAGCAAACGGG